CACCUCCCCUCCGCUGGUUUUAGCAUCGCGACAGAACCAAUCCCUCGCUAGCCCUACCUCCUCUCCUGUCUCCAGUCGCAGCAGCCGCCGCCGCCGCACCCCAAUCCAACCCCGCCGCCGGCGAUCUCCUCGCCCCCCUGUGCCGUCGCCCCCAACCUUCUAUUCCUCUCCCAAGGGAAGGGAAGGGAAGGCAAGGCAAGGGAAGGGAGAGGGAGCGCCCAGAUCCACGGCGGCAUCAGCGCGCCGUCCUCGACCUGAUCCGCGUCUGUCCACGGAUGGGAGCUAAUCGGCGCAGGAAAUCCCCGUCCCCGCGUCCGAGCCCCGCCACCCUCCGCAACGGCUCGACCGCCCAUCGACGCGCUGCCCCCGCGGCGCCCGACCAGUUCGGCUCUCGCGGCUGGUGGACGCGCCCUUGCUGUUGCCGACGCCGGCUCGCUGCGCCGCACUGGCCCUCACAAGCGUCUUCUGUCAAUGAUGGACUUGAGAGGUCAAGGAGUUUCCAUUGGGACAUCGGGACAUGCUCCUCCAUCUCCUCCGGUGGACGACAUCCAACAUCGCCAGUUCAUGCACUUAUGGACUGAAGAAAAAAAAUGGAAAUGAAGAAGAAAAGAAUAGCAAUAUUAUCAUAUGCGAGGUUUGCUUUUAACCUUGGUUCCUAACCAAUAUUUGCUUCAUAAUUCUGCCGAGAGAUUCACACUGUCAUUCAUAUUAUGAAUAUAGUUCAUAACCAGUAUUCUCUUUUAUCUAAUUAUAUGUACAGAAAGGAGUAAUCUGAAGUGAAUUCAUGCUAUGUUAACAGUCUAACAAACAUCUUGGAGGUGUGAAUGCUUUCUUGGGUCUGACAAGUAAUCAAUAAUUGAUGGUAUACUGGGAUUUUUCUCAUACUUCUAGCACUUCCUCAUUGACAAUAAAGCAAGUAGUAUCACAACAAAGGCUAUCCAGUUGUUUACCCCAAGAAAUGGUCUGCUUUCAUGGGGUUUAUUGAAUCCAGGAAAGAACUGUGAGUAGUAGCGAACCAGACAUGAAAAGUUUCAGAGAACUACGAAAACUCCGGUCAGUUUUGUCGGGAUCUUGUGACACAGUUCCAGGACUCUAUUGACUAAGGAAAUGAUAUAUAUGUGUGAUUUAUCCUGUUAAAACUUUUAGUGUUCACUUAGGGGUGAGUGCAACCAGUAACUGAAUUUAGACUACGAACUAGAGUAUGACAGUAAAGUCAGGAGCAUGAUGGAGAACACACGGGACAUUGAGGACUAAUGGUCAACACUUAAAUCUUGCUUUACAUACAGUUCAGUUCCAAGUAGUCUGAUACAUAGAUGGCGAGGGGAGUGCUGAUUUGGGGUUGAUUUUGGUAAUUAUAUAUUUUCCUUGAUGACUGUCAUUUUGUUGUCCUACAUGUGCUAUAUGAUAUGCAUAACAACUUGAGAGCACCUUUGCUUCUCUUGAUGUGCUUCGUCAUACAGUUUUUUAAAGUGCACAAGCAAGCUUGCGAGUGAUGACAACUACUAUGACCUACAACCUUGAAUCUAGGUUUUUGGGGUUGAACAUAGGGGCACAGCGCGCUCUCCCAUCUAACCAGUGAAGCGUAAUGAAGGAAAAGCUACAGUAUACAAAUCGUCACCGUCAUUCAGUUUGUCCAAAACUGAGAAAAGCUCUUUAAAAAAACUGGGAAAAGCUCACGUGAUGGAAUGAGAUGAGAUUUCAACAUCAUGAUUGCGUUUUAUAAUUUGAACAACCAAAGUAGAUGGUCCCGUCAGCCCGUGUUUGACAAUAUGAAGGGACAAACUUGUUGAUCCAUUAUUUUGCCAGGAAAAUACAAUAAUUCGGAGGGCUUAAAUAUGGAUAAUAGAUCUGACAUAAUCUAGCAAGGUGAGUGACUCAAUUGCACAUGUGCAAAAUGGAAGUUUAAACUUCCUUGAAUCUCUUGUAGGGUUUGGGGGAGAUUGUCAGCGAGCCACUGAUGAAAGUCCUUUUGCGAUGACAAUGCUAGAGAAGAUUUGAAAGAUCUUGGUUGGCGUGGGGCAACUUGUGUAUUCCUGGAUGGGGGCGCCGUCCGGUGGCAGUGGGGUGUGACAGUUGCCGCAGCUGGGCACAACCGGGAGUCCAGCUAUCCAGAACACCCAACUAUUUCAUCCGGUGAACUGCGAAGAGCUUCUGUAAUUAGCACAAAUCUGAAAGCAUAUAUGCAGCUCCCAGAUGUUGCAGGCUAGAGGAAGGGCAGGCACUCAUGCGAUACCAUGUAUCUGGUAGUGGUUUCGUUCCCCAGACGCUAUGCAUUUAUUGUCUGGUUUGUUCAUAUCUGUUAGCUCUAUGUUAACCUUCUUUUAGUUACUUCCCAUGAUUUUCUUUGUAAGAAACCCCAGAAAUAUAUAUAGGUGUAUUUUCCUGUAAAGAUGCUAAAUUUUGUUGGUCUUAUUUAUGGGAUAGCGAAACCA